rnacentral:lncRNA from 1 species
ACUGGAAUAUAGAGUUCUGCCUUGACUAGACUUGGAUUUUAUGAUUCUUUCCAUUUUUAAUAGCUUUGUGUUUCUACAUAACAAAUGGCCUUACUAAUGAGAUCGAAAGUUUUUUUCUGCUGAAGUGUUCCCACAGACAACUGCCUAUUAGUGUUUUCCCCUGCGCACUUGGAGAGUGUAGGAUAGCAGAGCUAGAGAGCACAGGUCUCCUCGAGGCCUGGAAGGCUUUCCCUCAGUAAGCCUGUGACUGUGAGAGGUCAGUGUUCUGGGCUGGGCCAAUCUUUGUCCACUCCUGUCUUAGACUUAAAGCU